rnacentral:rRNA from 1 species
GACGAACGCUGGCGGCGCGCCUAACACAUGCAAGUCGAACGGAGCUGAGAGAAGCUUGCUUUUCUUAGCUUAGUGGCGAACGGGUGAGUAACGCGUGAGUAACCUGCCCUGGAGUGGGGGACAACAGUUGGAAACGACUGCUAAUACCGCAUAAGCCCACGAUCCGGCAUCGGAUUGAGGGAAAAGGAUUUAUUCGCUUCAGGAUGGACUCGCGUCCAAUUAGCUAGUUGGUGAGGUAACGGCCCACCAAGGCGACGAUUGGUAGCCGGACUGAGAGGUUGAACGGCCACAUUGGGACUGAGACACGGCCCAGACUCCUACGGGAGGCAGCAGUGGGGGAUAUUGCACAAUGGGGGAAAGCCUGACGGAGCAACGCCGCGUGAGUGAUGAAGGUCUUCGGAUCGUAAAACUCUGUUAUUAGGGAAGAACAUAUGUGUAAGUAACUGUGCACAUCUUGACGGUACCUAAUCAGAAAGCCACGGCUAACUACGUG